rfam:Stegodyphus mimosarum contig28880, whole genome shotgun sequence.
GCCUUCGUGGUGUAGUGGUCAGCACGCUCGACGCGUAUUCGAGAGGUCCGUGGUUCGAGUCCUGGCGAGGACA